rnacentral:lncRNA from 1 species
CCUGCCUACAUAAAUCAUCAGCAUUGAUCAUUAUCAUGUCUGCCCCAGCUUCUAAGCAUCUCUCUGCCCUUCUGACCAAAAGAUCCACAUCUUCAACCAUCUCUGCAGAGAGACAAAACAGCAUGGAACAUGCAACAGAAACUGUUAUGCAUUUCAAUCGUCAACUUCUAUGGCACGACAAACAUUACAAAAGUUGUUUCAUGCAGGAGCGCAUGUUAUGUACUCAUCAGUUUAAAACUGGACUAAUCUUUUACUGCUAAUUUUCACAAGUUCUAUUUUGAAGUUUCUGUUGAAUAAUCCGUCAUGAAAUUUAGUGAUCAUAAGACAGAAAGUGAUAUAUCCUUGGCAACAUAGGUCCUAGGUUAGGCAGCAGAUCACAAACUCAUCGCAGUUAAACAACAGAAGCAUCUAAAUAGAAGGGCACAAAGCAUCAUCUCAUAUCCCAAGCUUCAUAAUAAAAUAUUCUUAAAGGCAUGAGUCUUAUAAGACACUAGUUUCCAUUUUGCAGAAUACAAAUAUUCUUAGCAAAAUAGAAAGAGGUACAUGAAGAACUUCAACAGUCAGAGAAAGAUUAUCAAGCUGUCAAGAGCAACUACAAGAUUACUAGACUGCAAGGACAUAUUUCCUCCAUUAGGAAAAUGAGGUAUCACAAGUACAAUGAGAAUGGCAAUUAAGCUGUGAACUUCCCUCAAGUCCUUUGAAUCGCGAUGUCUUAUCCAAUGAGAAGCACAGAAGGUAAAGCUCAGCAAUGAUUUUUUUUUGGGGUAAUUAGCAAUGAAAAUAUUUUUAUUUACAUGGAAAAAAGCCUCAAACUCCCUCCUCCCACCUCCUAUCCCUCUUUCAGUUUGCCUGUGCUGUGGCGCAAGUGGGGUUGAAUUUCCUACACAGCAAAACCAUAUACUUUCCGGCUUAUCAUUUGUGAACUUUACCCAUCCUUGUAACAAUUAGUUUAGUCUUGUCUAUAAAGCAGAUGAGAUGGUACAUGACGCUCUUCCAUGUAAGACAAUGGUUAAAACCUGCUAUCCAGAUUGACUAUCUCGAGGUCCUACCAUGUUGUCUGGGAUCUACAAUGGAUUGGUCAAUAAGAUAAUUCUUUGCAGCAAAAGGAAGCUAUAGAUCUCUGUAAAACGAGAAAAGAGGGAUACUAGUAGCCACUAGAGUUGAAAUGACAGUCAGGAGAGUGGCCCAAUUGGAUCGAAAAUACUAGCAUAUAUCAGCUGUCUGUGAAGGGUCAAUUUGAUUUGCCACGGCAAUAUCCUAAUUUUCAAGUUGUAGCAAUUUUGACACCUAAACACUGUGCAACAUAGGUUGCACCAAUUUUUAAAUACCUACUAUCCAAAGUUUCAUGAGAUUCGAAACAGUUAUUGAUGAAGAUAUCCUAGUUACAGAAAUGCAGCCAUAUAACUAAAUACUUGCAACUUUAGCUGGGGUCAUUAGUGUUAAGGUGCUCAUACGCAACUUCCUCUACAAUGUAUGUGGACUCAAUUGUGUUUCUACAGAGAGAGGUAUGAAUGAACUGAAUUUUUUUUCCUCUAGUACUCUACAAAUAUCAUUUCAGGAAAUAUCUGUCUGGAAAUUUAGACAAAUGAUCUUAAGAAAUUACUGUUCUGUUGAUGAACACAUCUCCUGAUGCAUCCACUGUUUUAUUUUUUCAUCUAUUAUCUAUCUAUCACAUUAGUCUCUCUUUUUUUCAACUUUAUCAAGCAGACACUUUCUAGUCUAAAAAAAGGAAUCUACAGAUAUAGCUUACAGUGGUGACAUUACCGCUCUCUAAGAAAAUGUAAAAGAGAAAAGAGCAAAAAUAAAUUUAAACCAGAAGUACUAGCAUACCAGAGGUUUGAGGUGCCGGAAUCACGUAAGCCCCAAAAGCUCUGUCACCGGCGAAGGCUAUAUCAGACUUGUUAAACUUAACAGAGAACUGAGGCUUAGCUCUGAGCCC